AGGUGCUUAGAGAUGAGUGUGCGUCUGAUUAGCUAGUUGGUGCGGUAACGGCGCACCGAAGGCGACGAUCAGUAGGGGGCCGUGAGAGCGUGGACCCCCCACACGGGUACUGAGACACGGACCCGACUCCUACGGGAGGCAGCAGUAAGGAAUAUUGGUCAAUGGAGGAAACUCUGAACCAGCCAUCCCGCGUGCAGGAAGAAUGCCCUAUGGGUUGUAAACUGCUUUUAUCUGGGAAGAAAAGUCGGCAUUUAUGCUGAUCUGACGGUACCAGAGGAAUAAGCACCGGCUAACUCCGUG
rnacentral:rRNA from 1 species